rnacentral:rRNA from 1 species
AAAUUGAAGAGUUUGAUCAUGGCUCAGAUUGAACGCUGGCGGCAGGCCUAACACAUGCAAGUCGAACGGUAACAGGAAGCAGCUUGCUGCUUUGCUGACGAGUGGCGGACGGGUGAGUAAUGUCUGGGAAACUGCCUGAUGGAGGGGGAUAACUACUGGAAACGGUAGCUAAU